rnacentral:rRNA from 1 species
CUGUGCGAAAACGCGCCUGAGAGGGGGACACCCUACGAAAGAGACUAUAUUAUAGCGUAUACGAUGUGGGGAUGAGAGGGGGAGCUCUUCGGCUCUUGUGCUAAGAGAGCGCUAGAUAUGUUUUUAUAUAGGGGGGGGGGUAGGCGCCCCUCGGGGAGAAUAUCAAUAGGUGGUGUGAGAGUGCUCCCACACACUGUGACUGAGACACACGCCACACACCUCCACGAGAGAGAAGAGGGGAAAAUUGUGCAAUGGGGGAAAAACCCUGACCCAGAUGCGGCGUGUGUGUGAAAAGGCUCCUCGUUGUGAAGAACUUUUUUGUCGGGGAAAAAAACGCUGGGUAUUAUACCCGCAUCUGCUGAGGGCCUCUGAAAAAUACACCCCGUCUAUCUACGUGCCAGCACGCGCGAAAAUACGUAGGGCGCGAGCGAAUAUCGAAUUACACUGGGUAUAAAGCGCGCGCAGGGGUUGAUAUAAGUCUGAUGAGAAAUCCCCCGCUCUCAACCUGGAAAUCUGCAUUGGAGACUGUAAACUAUAGAGUGUGUCAGAGGGGGGGUAGAAUUCCACGUGUAGCAGUGAAAUGCGUAGAUAUGUGAGAGAACAUACCGAUG